CUCUCUGUACGGCCGGGGAGCUCUUCGGUGUGCUCGAUUUGUGUUUCUUUGGACUCACAAAAGUGUAUUUUCCUCGGAAUUUCUGCCACCAAAUCGCCCCGUUUCCCUGAUGAGGCAAAUAAAAGGUCCUCACUGUCAGUCAAGUAUCAAGGAACAAAAUUAUUUAUGUCUUAAAGUACUUUGGUCUUCUAAAACUAAUCUAAGAUACUUGACGAACCAUCUUCUGAACCACCCUGGCAUGCUUUGGACAUAGUCAUCAACCAGCAACUGAGGACCUGAGACAAACUGUCCAUGAAAGGCAAGCAGCAUUAACAGAAGCUCCAUUAGCCGUGGCUCCCCAAAGAAAGAAACUAUUUCCUUCUGAAUUGCCAAUGUCCCUCUUUCACCUGCAUUUAAUAUUGAAUUCCACCAAGAAAAGGUGCCACCACACUGUCCUUUCAGAGCGUCCUCUGUCAGCACUGAAGCCUGGCUCCUCAGACCUGUGAGCAAUUCACAGAGAGUGAUGCUGAGCAAUUCACUCUUCCUCCCCACAACACCCAGCACUUCUGUGUUUUCUGCCCUCCAAUCUUUCCGAUUUGUGUGGCAGUGCUCCCUGUGACUGCCAGUAAGAGGGAGGGAGCAACAUGGCCUAUCUAUAAGUCCCCUCCCACUCCAACCAGACCUACUUUUGGUGCCUAUGGAGGGAUAAACUGCUCCUGGACACGUAGUGCACGCACAGCUGUUCUCCAAUCCACCAUCUCCAUGGCUGGUGACACCCAGGUGCUGAUGUGACAGGCUUCCAGGUACAUUUGGGUUGGCAGGCAACCCUUUCUUUUUGCCACACAGGCAGUGAUAGUGGCACCCAGACAGAGUAGCCUGGACUUCUGCCAUCACUGAAAGCCAAAGCACUGUGUCACACACUGGGUAAAGAUGCUCUCAUUAAGCGAUGCUGACUUGCUGGUUUUGCUGAGAGGUGUGGGGCUGAAGCAGCUACCGGCUCCAGAUAAGGCUGUUUGUGCCAUCUUUCUAGGGCAGGAGUAUCACAAGGUAAUACUUGUGUGCCAGCAACAUGGGCUGUCUUCCCAUAGACGCGAGCAAAAAGGUUUUGGAAAGUUGUUCAGUGUGUAAGAGUGCUAUGCCAUAGCUUAUGUUUUUCACAGCACAUGCUUUGUGGCUGGCAGUCCAUGGGCUGGUGCCAGAGCACUGCUGUCCUUGGUUAGGAGGUCAUCCAGACUGCCAGGGGCACUGGAAGGGCCAGCUGGUGCCCAGACAUCUCCACAAUAUACAAAUGAGGCCAGACACUCAUCACUCCUGCUGUCAGACAGUUAGGAAGUCAGGAAUCUGGCUUUACAGGCUCAUGGGAGUCCAUGUGCACAGUGUGGGCACAUUCAAGAAGGAUAUUUCACCUAUUUUGCCUGCAACUUGCCUUGUAUAAUCUGGUUCCAGAAAGAAGGCUUGCCUUCCAUAAGUGUAUUAAUUCUAAAUCUUGGUCUUCCUGACACUUUUCUUUUUUUUUUCCUGUUUUGGACACCGAAAAUGCAAUCAAGUUUUGAUUGAUGCAUGCGUGAAAUGAGCCGAAUAAUAAGUUUAAUCUCUGUGUGCUAUUUGAGGUUAGUAGUUUAUAACAUCUUACAUUUAAUUGUGUGGUUAACAAGACUAGCACACAAGGCCAGCACUGAGCAGCUAGCACCAAGGAUCAGCCUGUGUCCAGAGGUAUAAGUAUAGAGGUAGUAAGUAAAGAGAAACCAGCUGCAGGUUAAGGUUUAUCCAAACUGCAAUAGGAGACACCUAUAAGGAAGGAAACUUAAAAAAACAAAUUAUCUAAAGCUGUUGAGAAAAGGGCCUGCUGAUCAAUAAAGUAAAUAUUUGAGUAAUUCUGAUAUUAACUGUCCAGAUCUAAUGCAUGUUCAUUUAUAUAAACAUCUUCCUGAGGUGGUGGUGGGAAGAAAAUAAAUAAAGAAAAAAAGAACCAAAACCUCAGUGGAUGCAAA